rnacentral:rRNA from 1 species
AGUCAAUCUAACCUAUGGACGGGGAUAACCUCGGGAAACUGAGAAUAAUACCCGAUAGAUCAUUAUGCCUGGAAUGGUUUAUGGUCGAAAUGAUUUAUCGCCGUAGGAUGGGACUGCGUUCUAUCAGCUUGUUGGUGAGGUAAUGGCCCACCAAGGCUAUAACAGAUACGGGCUCUGAGAGGAGAAGCCCGGAGAUGGGUACUGAGACACGGACCCAGGCCCUAUGGGGCGCAGCAGGCGAGAAAACUUUGCAAUGUGCGAAAGCACGACAAGGUUAAUCCGAGUGUUUUCUGCUAAAGAAAUCUUUUGUCAGUCCUAAAAACACUGAUGAAUAAGGGGUGGGCAAGUUCUGGUGUCAGCCGCCGCGGUAAAACCAGCACCUCAAGUGGUCAGGAGGAUUAUUGGGCCUAAAGCAUCCGUAGCCGGCCGUGUAAGUUUUCGGUUAAAUCUAUAUGCUCAACAUAUAGGCUGCCGGGAAUACUGCACAGCUAGGGAGUGGGAGAGGUAGACGGUACUCGGUAGGAAGGGGUAAAAUCCUUUGAUCUAUUGAUGACCACCUGUGGCGAAGGCGGUCUACUAGAACACGUCCGACGGUGAGGGAUGAAAGCUGGGGGAGCAAACCGGAUUAGAUACCCGGGUAGUCCCAGCUGUAAACAAUGCAAACUCAGUGAUGCACUGGCUUGUGGCCAGUGCAGUGCC